rnacentral:rRNA from 1 species
UUACGGCCAUAUCACGUUGAAACAUCGGUUCUCGUACGAUCACAGAAAUUAAGCAACGUCUACUUUGGUCAGUACCUAGAUGGGUGACCGCUUAGGAAUAUCAGGUGCUGUAA